rnacentral:rRNA from 1 species
GGGGAUAACUAUUGGAAACGAUAGCUAAUACCGCAUAACAAUGGAUGACGCAUGUCAUUUAUUUGAAAGGGGCAAUUGCUCCACUACAAGAUGGACCUGCGUUGUAUUAGCUAGUAGGUGAGGUAACGGCUCACCUAGGCGACGAUACAUAGCCGACCUGAGAGGGUGAUCGGCCACACUGGGACUGAGACACGGCCCAG